CCUCUUGUAGCUUAGUGGUCAGAGCAUUGGUGCGUAAAGCCAACGGUCCCGGGUUCGACUCCCGACAAGGGUG
rfam:Agrilus planipennis Contig74401, whole genome shotgun sequence.